rnacentral:rRNA from 1 species
GGUUAAGUGAAUAAGGGCGCACAGUGGAUGCCUUGGCACUAGGAGCCGAUGAAGGACAGGACUAACACCGAUAUGCUUUGGGGGAGCUGUAAGUAAGCUAUGAUCAGAGAUUUCCAGAUAGGGGGACCAAUAUCUUUUAUAGGAUAUUACUUUUCAGUGAAUACAUAGCUGAUUAGAGGUAGACGCAGAGAACUGAAACAUCUUAGUACCUACAGGAAGAGAAAGAAAAUUCGAUUCCCUGAGUAGCGGCAGAGCGAGAACAGGGAAGAGCCCAAACCAACAAGCUUGCUUGUUGGGGUUAUGAGACUCAAUAUGGUAGUCUGUUAGUAUAGUUGAAAGGAUUUGGAAAAUUCCGCUAAAGAGGUGAAAGCCCGUAGACGAAAUGCUGACAACACCUAGGAGGAUCCUGGUACGGCGGAACACGAAAUUCCGUCCGGAAUCCGCGGGGACCAUCCCGCAAGGCUAAAUACUCCCUAGUGACCGAUAGUGAACCAGUACCGUGAGGGAAAGGUGAAAAGCACCCCGGAAGGGGAGUGAAAUAGAUCCUGAAACCGUGUGCCUACAACAAGUCAAAGCUCGUUAAUGAGUGAUGGCGUGCCUUUUUGUAGAAUGAACCGGCGAGUUACGAUUGCAUGCGAGGUUAAGUCGAAGAGACGGAGCCCGCAGCGAAAGCGGAGUCUGAAUAGGGCGAAUGAGUAUGUGGUCGUAGACCCGAAACCAUGUGAUCUACCCAUGUCCAGGUUGAAGGUGCGGUAAAAACGCACUGGAGGACCGAACCCACGUACGUUGAAAAGUGCAGGGGAUGAGGUGUGGGUAGCGGAGAAAUUCCAAACGAACUUGGAGAUAGCUGGUUCUCUCUCAGAAAUAGCUUUAGGGCUAGCCUCGGAAUUGAGAAUGAUGGAGGUAGAGCACUGUUUGGACUAGGGGCCCCAUCUCAGGUUACCAAUUCAGAUAAACUCGAAUGCCAUUCAUUUAUAUCCGGGAGUCAGACUGCGAGUGAUAAGAUCCGUAGUCGAAAGGAAACAGCCCAGACCACCAGCUAAGGUCCCAAAAUAUAUGUUAAGUGGAAAAGGAUGUGGGGUUGCACAGACAACUAGGAUGUUGGCUUAGAAGCGACCACCAUUUAAAGAGUGCGUAAUAGCUCACUAGUCAGUGACCCUGCGCCGAAAAAUGUACCGGGGCUAAACAUAUUACCGAAGCUGUGGACUACACCAUUAGGUGUAGUGGUAGGAGAAGCGUUCUAAGGGCGUUGAAGGUCGAUCGUGAGGACGGCUGGAGCGCUUAGAAGUGAGAAUGCCGGUAUGAGUAGCGAAAGACAGGUGAGAAUCCUGUCCACCGUAUGACUAAGGUUUCCUGGGAAGGCUCGUCCGCCCAGGGUUAGUCAGGACCUGAAGCCGAGGCCGAUAGGCGUAGGCGAUGGACAACAGGUUGAUAUUCCUGUACCAGUUGUUUUUGUUUGAGCAAUGGAGGGACGCAUGUAGGCUAAAGGAAUGCAUGCGAUUGGAAGUCGCAUGUCAAGCAAUGAGUCUUGAGUAGAGUUAAAUGCUUUACUCUCUAAGGACAAGUUGUGACGAGGGGCGAAAUAAUAGUAGCGAAGUUCCUGAUGUCACACUGCCAAGAAAAGCUUCUAGUGAGAAAACAACUGCCCGUACCGUAAACCGACACAGGUAGUCGAGGAGAGUAUCCUAAGGUGAGCGAGCGAACUCUCGUUAAGGAACUCGGCAAAAAUGACCCCGUAACUUCGGGAGAAGGGGUGCUGACUUCGGUCAGCCGCAGUGAAUAGGCCCAAGCGACUGUUUAUCAAAAACACAGGUCUCUGCAAAAUCGUAAGAUGAAGUAUAGGGCUGACGCCUGCCCGGUGCUGGAAGGUUAAGAGGAUGGGUUAGCUUCGGCGAAGCUCAGAAUUGAAGCCCCAGUAAACGGCGGCCGUAACUAUAACGGUCCUAAGGUAGCGAAAUUCCUUGUCGGGUAAGUUCCGACCCGCACGAAAGAGCGUAACGAUUUGGGCACUGUCUCAACGAGAGACUCGGUGAAAAUUUUAGUACCUGUGAAGAUGCAGGUUACCCGCGACAGGACGGAAAGACCCCAUGGAGCUUUACUGUAGUUUGAUAUUGAGUGUUUGUACCACAUGUACAGGAUAGGUAGGAGCCGAUGAGACCGGAAACGCUAGUUUCGGAGGAGGCGCUGGUGGGAUACUACCCUUGUGUUAUGAACCCUCUAACCCGCACCACUAAUCGUGGUGGGAGACAGUGUCAGAUGGGCAGUUUGACUGGGGCGGUCGCCUCCUAAAAAGGUAACGGAGGCGCCCAAAGGUUCCCCCUCAGAAUGGUUGGAAAUCAUUCGAAGAGUGUAAAGGCAGAAGGGAGCUUGACUGCGAGACCUACAAGUCGAGCAGGGACGAAAAGAUCGAGGCUUAGUGAUCCGGUGGUUCCGCAUGGAAGGGCCAUCGCUCAACGGAUAAAAAAGCUACCCUGGGGAUAACAGGCUUAUCUCCCCAAGAGUCCACAUCGACGGGGAGGUUUGGCACCUCGAUGUCGGCUCGUCGCAUCCUGGGGCUGUAGUCGGUCCCAAGGGUUGGGCUGUUCGCCCAUUAAAGCGGCACGCGAGCUGGGUUCAGAACGUCGUGAGACAGUUCGGUCCCUAUCCGUCGCGGGCGUUGGAAAUUUGAGAGGAGCUGUCCUUAGUACGAGAGGGACCGGGAUGGACUUACCGCUGGUGUACCAGUUGUUCUGCCAAAGGGCAUUGCUGGGUAGCUAUGUAGGGAAGGGAUAAACGCUGAAAAGCAUCUAAGUGUGAAGCCCACCUCAAGAUGAGAUUUCCCAUUUCUUUAAGAAAGUAAGACCCCUGAGAGAUGAUCAGGUAGAUAGGUUGGAAGUGGAAGGCUAGUGAUAGUUGGAGCGGACCAAUACUAAUCGGUCGAGGACUUAACCAA